rnacentral:rRNA from 1 species
GAUGACGACUGGCGCACGGUGAGUAACGCGUAUCCAACCUUACCCAUAACUACGGGAUAACCCGUUGAAAGAACGGCCUAAUACCGUAUGACAAUCGUUUGCUGACAUCAAAUAACGAUUAAAGGUUUAGCGGUUAUGGAUGGGGAUGCGUCUGAUUAGCUUGUUGGCGGGGUAACGGCCCACCAAGGCAACGAUCAGUAGGGGUUCUGAGAGGAAGGUCCCCCACAUUGGAACUGAGACACGGUCCAAACUCCUACGGGAGGCAGCAGUC